ACUCCUACGGGAGGCAGCAGUGAGGAAUAUUGCCCAAUGGACGCAAGUCUGAGGCAGCAACGCCGCGUGGGCGAUGAAGGCCUUCGGGUUGUAAAGCCCUUUUCUGGGGGAAGAGGAAGGACGGUACCUCAGGAAUAAGUCACGGCUAACUACGUGCCAGCAGCCGCGGUAAU
rnacentral:rRNA from 1 species